UGAGACGCAUCCUAGGGCCUUUCACCGCUCUGAGGAGAGUUUACUUGAGUCUAGGGGAAGUAUAUGAUUGAGACGCAUCCUAGGGCCUUUCACCGCUCUGAGGGAGGGUGACUUAGACAACGCGGUUGGUUGGAUUGAGACGCAAUAUGAGACUUCCCGGAUCUAUCUGCUCCUACAAGACAACCUAGCAAAUGGCAACAGAGGAGACCUAUUCCUUAGCAGGCAUGUUUAUCGCAAGACAAAUGAAGCUGU
rnacentral:lncRNA from 1 species